UAAAUGGCCCUAUCGAAGCUGUUCCUGUUUACUGUAACUGGUACAGUCAAUAAGGUGCCUAAAGUAUCACUUUUGCCGACGGUCGCUGUUUGGCUUAAAGUAGCCGUUUCAGCAACAUUAAGGAAAAGGACACUU
ensembl:snoRNA